UCUCCUGAAGGAACGUUGAAGACGACGACGUUGAUAGGCCGGGUGUGUAAGCGCAGCGAUGCGUUGAGCUAACCGGUACUAAUGAACCGUGAGGCUUAACCUUACAACGCCGAAGAUGUUUUG
rnacentral:rRNA from 2 species